GUCCUCCUCAUCGUAAUCCCAGCUAGCAAGCACGGUGGGUGGCGGACAUGCCGUUCGCUAGACGACGAGAUGGGAUAUUUGGAGGCAUCCACUCACAUCCUCCAUACGCUCCGUCCCCCCGUGGAAGAGACAAACACAAGCAGUAGUAGUGCUUGGUUUUUGCGAGGAUGAGGAAUAAAGCGACCCCGACAUGAGGCUCCAAACCCGAGCACCCAUUACCACGGUAGAAGACCGAGGCGUUGCGGACGGAAUGGCUUCUCCUUUGAGAGGGAUGGGCUGAGGAGUUCCAUCUGCCGUUUGUGAGGAGGAUUGGAGCACGGGUCGCUGUCUGCUACUGCAGGAAACUUGGUCCCUGGAGCUCCAACUCUGAAAACCUCCUCCGGUGUGAAUCCAUCGAACUGCUGCUUCUCGUUGCAGUCUUGUCUUUUCUGCUGUUGCUUCGGCUGCAAGAAUCUGUUGCUUACUGGGCUCUAAUUCUCGUCGAUCAAGCGCUCGAGAUUUGGCCAGAUUCAUCUGCUUGCCGGAGCGGGCGAAGCGGGCGAUGAUGCCUUUAUCGGCCGGCGUCGUGGUCCAGGACGACGGCUCGUCGUCGUCGGUGACUUCGUCCCCACUCGAGACCUUGUCCCUCUCUCCUCCCUCCCUCUCGCCGCACUCGCCGUGGGUCCGCGAGCUCAAGUCCGACGAGCGCGGCCUCUGUCUCAUCCACCUCCUCCUUGACUGCGCCAAUCGCGUUGCUUCCGGCGGCAGUCUCGACCCCGCCAACGCGGCCCUCGAGCAGAUCGCCCUCCUCGCCGCCCCCGACGGCGACGCCAUGCAGCGUAUCGCCUCUCACUUCGCCGAGGCCCUCGCCCGCCGCGCCAUCCGCUCGUGGCCCGGCCUCUGUCACGCCCUCGACUCCGCCCGCGUCCUGCCGCUGGCGGAGGCCGCCGUGGCCCGCCGCCAUUUCCUCGACCUCUGCCCCUUCCUCCGAUUGUCGUUCGUCGUCACCAACCAGGCCAUCAUGGAGGCCAUGGAGGGCGAGCGAGUGGUCCACGUCGUCGACCUCAACGCGUCCGAUCCCGCCCAGUGGAUCCCCCUCCUUCAGGCACUCAGCGCACGGUCCGAGGGCCCGCCGCACUUGAAGAUCACCGGCAUCCACGAGCACAAGGAGGUGCUCCACUACACGGCGAUUCGCCUAUCGGAGGCGGCCGAGCGGCUCGACGUCCCAUUCCAAUUCAUUCCCCUAGUUAGCAGGCUGGAUAACCUGGACCUCGAGAGACUGCGAGUCAAGACUGGGGAGGCAUUAGCCAUCAGUUCCGUCCUCCAAUUGCAUUCCUUGCUGGCCACCGAGGACGUCGGCGGCCACCUGCGCAAGGCCCAAAGGAUUGCACCAAUUAGUAAGCUAACGUUAGGGGAAUUUCUCGAGAAGGAUCACUUGGCCAAUACACAUAGCACGAGCGCAGAGUCAGCAGCACGGCCGCCCACGAGGAUCCAGAGUUUUCUUGCGUCGCUGUGGGGGCUGUCUCCGAAGAUCGUGGUGGUCACCGAGCAGGAGGCCAACCACAAUGGGAAGACGCUGAAGGAGAGGCUCGUGGAGGCGCUCUUUUAUUACGCUGCGGUGUUCGACAGCCUCGACUUGACUGUGCCGCGGCAGUCAGUCGAGCGUCUCAGGGUGGAGAAGAUGCUAUUCGGGGAGGAGAUCAGGAACAUUAUAGCAUGCGAAGGGUUGGAAAGGAAGGAGCGGCACGAGAAGCUGGAGAGGUGGAGUCAGAGGAUGGGCAUGGCAGGGUUCAGAUUGUUGCCAUUGAGCUACUAUGGACUGCUGCAAGCGAGGAGGUUGCUGCAGUCCUUUGGUUGGCAGGGUUAUAAAGUGAAAGAAGAGAACGGGUGCUUCAUGAUGUGCUGGCAAGAUCGGCCACUGUUCUCCGUAUCAGCUUGGAGGUGCAAUCAAGCAGAAAGUUUGAAGAAAAGAAGCACAAGUGUUGUGCCAUAGAACAGAAGCUUUUUCAGCCACGGAAGGAUAAAGCUGUGGUCAAACUGAUGAUGAUGGCUUCCUAGUGGGAAAUGAGAAGUUACAAGUAUGGAAAUUUGCAAGAACAAUUCUGCAUCCUCUACAGAAAAUAUCUUCCUAGGAUUUUUUACUUGUAACAAACAGUGUCUUCUUAUACAGGAAUAUGAAAAGUAUGAUAAAAAUAGAUUGUUGAAUUGGAGGUUAGGUACUCCAAGCAAUCUAUUUUGAGAGUUCAGAGGAUUUAGUGCUGGAGUCAUUGGGAAUUUAUGAACCUUGGUUGAAGAAAAGGUGAGUAUCAUGGCAUUGGCUUGAACCAGUGGAAACUCAUAAUCUACGGGUUUUCUCUUGGACUGUAGACCGAAGAACAACUCAAUUUCACCAUCUGUCACUGGCCACUUGACUUCAUCUAUUUGUAAGUUUACAGUUGAACCUGAAUAGAUUAAUCAUCAAUGAGCAAUUUAUAUUCACAAAAGAAAACUGGCUUUCUACUCUGACUUCAUCAAUAUGUUGUUUUCGAUUCAAUGAAAUGUGUUUUUGAAUAGCAAAAUGUAAAGAAUGAGAAGAUAAACUAUUGAUUGUAUUCCUCCAGAUUUACUUCAUUGCUUUA